rnacentral:rRNA from 1 species
AUUGAACGCUGGCGGCAGGCCUAACACAUGCAAGUCGAGCGGAUGAAGGGAGCUUGCUCCUGGAUUCAGCGGCGGACGGGUGAGUAAUGCCUAGGAAUCUGCCUGGUAGUGGGGGAUAACGUCCGGAAACGGGCGCUAAUACCGCAUACGUCCUGAGGGAGAAAGUGGGGGAUCUUCGGACCUCACGCUAUCAGAUGAGCCUAGGUCGGAUUAGCUAGUUGGUGGGGUAAAGGCCUACCAAGGCGACGAUCCGUAACUGGUCUGAGAGGAUGAUCAGUCACACUGGAACUGAGACAGGGUCCAGACUCCUACGGGAGGCAGCAGUGGGGAAUAUUGGACAAUGGGCGAAAGCCUGAUCCAGCCAUGCCGCGUGUGUGAAGAAGGUCUUCGGAUUGUAAAGCACUUUAAGUGGGGAGGAAGGGCAGUAAGUUAAUACCUUGCUGUUUUGACGUUACCAACAGAAUAAGCACCGGCUAACUUCGUG